rnacentral:rRNA from 1 species
GGGCUCACACAAGCGGUGGAGGAUGUGGCUUAAUUCGAGGCUACGCGAAGAACCUUACCUAGACUUAACAUGUUUGAGAAUCUCUGUGAAAGCAGAGAGUGCCUUUCGGGGAACUCUUACGUAGGUGCUGCAUGGCUGUCGUCAGCUCGUGUCGUGAGAUGUCGGGUUAAGUCCCUUAACGAGCGAAACCCUUAUCUUCAGUUGCCAGCGAGUAAUGUCGGGGACUCUGGAGAGACUGCCGGUGUUAAACCGGAGGAAGGUGGGGAUGACGUCAAGUCCUCAUGGCCCUUACGUGUUGGGCUACACACGUGCUACAAUGGUAUCUACAACAGGAAGCAAGACUGCGAAGUUAAGCAAAUCCCUAAAAGAUACCUCAGUUCGGAUUGCACUCUGCAACUCGAGUGCAUG